GACGAACGCUGGCGGCGUGCUUAACACAUGCAAGUCGAACGGAAAGGCCCCUUUGGGGGUACUCGAGUGGCGAACGGGUGAGUAACACGUGAGUAACCUGCCCUUGACUUCGGGAUAACUUCAGGAAACUGGGGCUAAUACCGGAUAGGAAUCCUUGCUGCAUGGUGGGGGUUGGAAAGCUUCGGCGGUUUUGGAUGGACUCGCGGCUUAUCAGCUUGUUGGUGGGGUAGUGGCUUACCAAGGCUUUGACGGGUAGCCGGCCUGAGAGGGCGACCGGCCACAUUGGGACUGAGAUACGGCCCAGACUCCUACGGGAGGCAGCAGUGGGGAACAUUGCACAAUGGGCGGAAGCCUGAUGCAGCAACGCCGCGUGCGGGAUGACGGCCUUCGGGUUGUAAACCGCUUUCAGCAGGGGCGAAGCUUGUGGUGACGGUACCUGCAGAAGAAGCACCGGCUAACUACGUG
rnacentral:rRNA from 1 species